rnacentral:tRNA from 1 species
UAGAGAUUAGUCUAAUCAAGACAAUUAGUUUCGACCUAAUAAAUCUCGACCCCUCGAGAUCUCUAA